UUAUUUAUUUUUUUAUUGCAUUUUAGGUUUUGGGGUACAUGUGAGGAACAUGCAAGAUUGUUGCAUAGGUACACACGUGGCAGUGUGAUUUGCUGCCUUCCUCCCCUUCACCUAUAUCUGGCAUUUCUCCCCAUGCUAUCUGUCCCCAACUCCUCACCCGCUGUCCCUCCCCUAUCUCCCGCAACAGACCCCAGUGUGUAGUGCCCCCUUCCCUGUGUUCAUGUGUUCUCAUUGUUCAACACCCGCCUAUGAGUGAGAACAUGUGGUAUUUCAUUUUCUGUUCUUGUGUCAGUUUGCUGAGAAUGAUGGUCUCCAGGUUCAUCCAUGUCCCUACAAAGGACACGAACUCAUCGUUUUUGAUUGCUGCAUAGUAUUCCAUGGUGUAUAUGUGCCACAUUUUCCGUUCCCAGUCUAUCAUCGAUGGGCAUUUGGGUUGGUUCCAGGUCUUUGCUAUUGUAAACAGUGCUGCAACGAACAUUCGUGUGCACGUGUCCUUAUAGUAGAACGAUUUAUAAUCCUCUGGAUAUAUACCCAGUAAUGGGAUUGCUGGGUUAAUGAUGAUUUCAAGUUUUGUUCAUAAUUUAGACCAUGAAAGAAAGUUUCUCUUUACAGUCUAAUUCUUUAAUACAGGUACAGUCAGCCCUCCCAUUGUCACAGUUCUUCAUUCCUGGAUUCAACCAACUUUGGAUCCAAAAUAUCAAAACAUAAAUAAGGAAAUAUACAAAUAAAGAAAAAUACAGCAUAACAACUAUUUUACAGCAUUUACAUAAUGUUAGAUAUUAUAAGUAACCUAGAUAGGAUUUAAAGCAUAGGAGAGGAUGUGCAUAGGUUAUAUGCAAAUACUAGACCACUUUAUUAAGGGGCUUGAAUAUCAGACGUUUUUCUACUGGGGAAUGUGAGGGUCCUGGAAGCAAUUCCUGGUGGCUACCAAGGGACCAUUAUAUCAAAGAAAAACAAUUUCUAGGAAGAGUCUUUCACAGAAGCUUUACUGAAUAAUACCAAUUUGUAUUUCUUAGAAUAAGUACAGUUCAUCUUGUUGGGAGGGAAUAGACAGAUCCUAUGGCAGCGUAGCCAUAGGGCUAGGUAAUUUACAUCUGGAAGCCCUCUCGUCAGGAGAAUAAAAUUACGGAUGCAUGGUGAGGCCAGAGUGAGCUACCAAAAAACCAUUUUCUUGGGAGUCUCCAUAGCAACACCUAGGCUGCUGUUGAUUAAUUUUCAUAGUAUUUUUCCCAAAACUUUGUUCUUAACUAAAAUUUUCUUAGCAUUUGUAAGAUGAAAAUUUUCUUUGUAUUAUGGCUGGAAAAUAAAGUUGUGUCUCUUCCAUACACACACAAAAAAUCUACCCAAUCAUUAAUUAUAUCAUUCUGAAUUUUAAUCAAGUUUUUCUCAUAGUUUUAAACUGGGGAAAAAGUUCUGCUUUUUCAUUUAAAAGGUAGUAAAAAGUUUGUUGGCAUUCUGGUAUAGUUUAUAAAAAAUUUAACUAGAUGUUUGUGCAUGUCUUGCUACAUGAGUAAUUUUCGCUCUUCUUGAAUGUGAAUGCGCACCUCAAAAUAAACUGUUACCUGCAAUCAUUUCAGCCAAAUCACUAGCAGAUGAUUAAUAAAAUAGGUUGCAGAUAAAAAAAGAGAAAAAAUGAAAUAAGCAGAACAAAAAGUAAAAUUAAGUGCUAUUUAAAAAUUGCAGAGAAAGCGUCACUAUCUCUGUAAUUCUUAUAAGUGACAGCUGUCCAACCGGCAGCAAUAAUUUGUUUGCAAUACUUAUUUGACAAGACUGUCCGUUGUUUAUCAAACAUUUCCUUUUCUUUUCUCCUAAUAUGUGAGUCAGACACUUUUUGACCUUCCUUAUUCUUAGAUAUGAACAUGUGACUGAGUUCUCGCCAAGUCUGGCUUUGAAAAAUGUCUCCCAGCAUUGCGUAUACCCUUUCUGCUCGAUAUUGGGCUGGCGUUGAAAACCUUAUCUCUGAAUGAUUGCUGUGACACAGAGGUCUCCCCUUCCCCUAAGGAUCAUCCUGCCCCUCCCACCAAAGGCAUUUGCUUGGGACUCUUAAGCAGAUGAACUCUAUUGGAUGGAAGGAUUCAAACAGAAAAAUACUAAGAGAAGUCUGAUGGAAAACUCUAGAAAAUCCAAGAAGGGAGCUAGCUGGUGAUGAGCAAAGCUACAUGUGCUGUCUUGAUAGCCAUAGUGACGAAUGGAGCCUCGGUACCUGAGUGAAAGAGAAUGGCCUGGGCAACCUACUGAGAUUUUGCCUCUACAAAAAAACAAAAAACAACAAACAAACAAAAUUAGCCAGCUGUGGUGGUGUGCACCUGCAGCUCCAGCUACUCGGGAGGCUGGGGUGGGAGGAUGGCUUGAACCAGGGAGUUCAAAGCUGUAGUGAGCUGUGAUUGCACCACUGUACUCCAGCCUGGGUGACAGAGCAAGACCUAAUCUCACACAGAAAGAAAAGAAAAGAAUUUAAAACGAGAGGGGAGAAUGAGAAAAGAGUCACAACUUUGAUAAAGUGAAGAGCACGCUAUCGGAUGGGUUGGUUAUGGAAUGGUCGCAGUCUUGUCUAGUUUGGAAUCAGACAGACCUGAGUUUAGUCCUUAACAUCUACCCUUUUACUCUUCUUAUUUUAUUUCCCUUCCUUUCCCACUUUCUUAUUCAUCUGAUAAAGAUUCUGAGUUCUACUUUUUUCUGGUAUUAUGGUAAACUUUGGGAAUGCAAAGUCGAAUGAAAUGUGUCUUGUAUCUUCAAGGAGGGUUGGGCCUUGUGCUGGUGGUAGCUGACUCAGCAGACCGUCACACAAGCGUGUUGUCAGUACAGAUAUUCAUAGGGUGCUGCAAGAGCCGGAGGACUGGUGAUGAAGCCUGCUUUUGUGAUGAAGUGGUUUGCGGUAAGGCACAUGGUGGGUAGCUUCUGACAAAAUAGGCCGUAGGCUGAGUGCUGUAGAAGCUGGAAGUGAGAGGAAACAGCGUGUAUAAUGUGCAUAGGGUGGUACAGUAGUUUGAGGAAACACAAGGAGCUUCAUCUGGUAGGAGCGAUUGACGUAAAUGGAGGAACAGAAAGAAAGAUGGACAGAACCCAGGUCACGAUGGGCCUGGGGUGCUCAGGGGAGGAUGCACUGGUAUUAUGAAAGCACUGGAUGCGACUGGGGUCUGCUCAUGCCUGAACGUACUAGAGAGUGACUGAUUUGGGUGAGGAAAGCUUCCUAAUAAUUUCUGUGUUUGGCGGUGUGAUCUUGGCCAGGUAACCUUUAUGAGCUCCUUUUCUGUAAAAUCUAUAAACUGACUAUGCUAAAACCCACCUUGCUGUGCUAUUGCAGAAGUGAGAGCAUGUCUCUGAGGCACUGUUUGUAAUACCUGUGUUUAUAGUUAUGAUAUGGUAGAUAGUUCCAGAAAUAAAGAGCUACUGCUUGGGAAAUAAGAACGAACGUUUGGCUUGAAAUAAGGUCUGUCGUUAAAUCUUGGUUCUGCCACUUCCUGGCUCUGUGACCUCGAACAUAUCAUUUGACUUCUCUGAGCUUUGUUUUUUUCCCUUAUGAGAUGCAAACCACGUUGACCUCACAAGAUUGAGUCAGGAUAGUGCUUGCUGUGGAUAAACUUCCCAGUACAAAUUCUUUCUUUCCAGCCGGGUGCGGUGGCUCACACCUGCAAUCCCAGCACUUUGGGAGGCCGAAGUGGGCGGAUCAUUUGAGGUCAGAAGUUCGAGAUCAGCCUGGCCAACAUCAUGACACCUUGUCUCUACUAAAAAUACAAAAAAAUUAGCUGGGCAUGGUGGCAUGCACCUGUAGUCCCAGCUACUUGGGAGGCUGAGGCGAAUCGCUUGAACCCGGGAGGCGGAGGUUUGCAGUGAGUGGAGAUCACUGCCACUGUACUCCAGCCUGGGAGACAGAGUGAGACUCCAUCUAAAAAAAAAAAAAGAAUUAUUUCCACUACUUUUUCUCUUUCUGUAAGUCCUCCCUUCUCUUUUUAUUUCCCUUUUGCAACUGCAGGCUUUUGUAAGUCACCCCUCUGCUUCAUGAAGAACACACUGGGGUGGGAUAUCACACUGUGAAAAAUACAUAACUGGAAUUUGAAUAGUAAACCAGCAGAUCGGGAGCAACAUCUGGAGGGCCCAUAUAUGCCUGGGGAGAGAAGGAGAGGUGCUGGCACGCCCACAGGGGAGUGAGAGUAAGUAAGUGUAUGCACAGAGCACUUCUGGAGCACGACCCUCCCGCGAUGCCUGCUGAGCCGUUACUUGAAGGUCUACACAGGUGUAGACCAAACUCGAGGCCUAAAUCAAGGGCAAGUAUUACCAUAUGUUCCCACACAGAGACUAAAAGAGAGGGCUUCUCCCAGCAAGCAGGGAGGAGGGUAGAGGUGGAAGUGAGGAGCCAGGGGAGGAAGGGAGGAAAACAGAAGAGCUGCCAAUAUAAAGAAUUCAUUAGAGAAAAGUCAUGUUGUGACCUCCAAGAUGAAGAUGAGUGAAAAUUCUUGUAUGAUUUAAUAUUCAGUGGAAAUAUUCCAAACCACAUGUGCUCUGAGCAGGCUGCGGUCUUUCACCUUAAUUUCAGGGAAGUCCUACUACCCAUUACUCUUUAUGUUGCUUACAUAGUCUGAGCUUCUUUGUAACACGCUGGCAGGGUGUAGAUGAAGAGGUUUGACUCACAGCCUGCAAUUAUAGAAGUAUGGACAGUAUGGAAGAACAGGGAGCCUGGCUGACCAUUUAUGUGAGGGAGGGAUGUGUCUUAGCUGAGGGCCACAUGAGUCAUAGAGCCUUUUCUCCUGGGACACAUAUGCUCCAAGUCCACAUUAUUUUCUAUAGCUCUCUCGGGUAGUUGGAUAUGUCCAUCGGUUUUUAAAUUUAAAAAAAUAUUAGGAUCAACAUUUUUCAAAAUGAAUAAAAUAAAAUAAAUAAAUAAAAAAUAUUAGGAACAUCUUCCUAAGAACAACUUUUAUGAAGCUCUGAUACCCUUUGAAAAACAAAACAAAAAUAUACUCUAAAGCCUAAUAUGGUAAAAAAAUGUAUCUGCUUGGGUUGGAAAUCGGGAUGCGGUCCUGAAACUCCGCCCCCUUGCUUCGCUCUGCUUAUGCAGAUCAGUUCCUGAAAGUGUGAAAACUAUCACUGUAGUACAACCUUCAAUGUGUAGCGGGGGAAAUAGAGACGCUAGAGGCUUGUCCACAUGCCCGUAAUGAAUUAAGGGCUGAAGUUAGACUGAAAUCACUUUUUUUUUCCCGUAUCUAUCUUGGUGUAUUUUCUUAGCUUUAGACUUGUAGCUAUUAUCUUUCAGAACAGGUGAUUAAAAUAUUGCCAUGUUUGAUCAACCCAGAGACACAGGAAAAACUGAAAGAGUUUGAAGAAUGCGAUGCUCUCCGAUCUGCAAGAGGCCUAGAGGAAGCCUUCACAUCCCUUUUGCAACUACAGGCUUUUAAUGGAAUGCCCAUAAGAACCUGCUUAAGACUUGUCAAGGGCUCCCCUGCUUCUACAGCUGUCAGUCAAUAUGCCCUCAAUGCAGAAGAGAGCAAAUACCUGCCUCCUAGGAAAGCUGGGGCAAUUCUCCUCCAAAGAGGAAGCUUCUGGAAAUCUCACUUUUAAUGUAAAAAUUCAAGAAAUUCUUUGACUCAUUCCAUAAUA